rnacentral:rRNA from 1 species
AAUAGAUACCCGGGUAGUCCACGCCGUAAACGAUGAUAACUAGCUGUCCGGGCUCAUGGAGCUUGGGUGGCGCAGCUAACGCAUUAAGUUAUCCGCCUGGGGAGUACGGUCGCAAGAUUAAAAUUCAAAGGAAUUGACGGGGGCCUGCACAAGCGGUGGAGCAUGUGGUUUAAUUCGAAGCAACGCGCAGAACCUUACCAGCCUUUGACAUGCCUAGUAUGGUUUCCAGAGAUGGAUUCCUUGUCUUCGGACGCUAGGACACAGGUGCUGCAUGGCUGUCGUCAGCUCAUGUCGUGAGAUGUUGGGUUAAGUCCCGCGACGAGCGCAACCCUGUCCUUAGUUGCCAUCAUUCAGUUGGGCACUCUAAGGAAACCGCCGGUGAUAAGCCGGAGGAAGUGGGAUGACGUCAAGUCCUCAUGGCCCUUACAGGCUGGGCUACACACGUGCUACAAUGGCGGUGACAGUGGGCAGCAAACUCGCGAGAGUGAGCUAAUCUCCAAAAGCCGUCUCG